UAUCAGAGGGGAAUAACCCGGCGAAAGUCGGACUAAUACCGCAUAAAACAGGGGCACCGCAUGGUGAUAUUUGUUAAAGAAAUUCGCUGAUAGAUGGGCAUGCGUUCCAUUAGGUAUUGGUGAGGAUAACGGCCUCACCAAGCCGACUAUGGAUAGGGGAACUGAGAGUGUUGGUCCCCCACACUUGUGUACUGANACACGUGACUCAUACUUCCUACGGNAGGCAGCAGUUGAGGANUAUUGGNCAAUGGGCCGANAGCCUGANCCANCCAANUCNUNUGAUGUGAAGAAGGNCUCUNU
rnacentral:rRNA from 1 species